GAUGAAGAACGUAGCGAAAUGCGAUAAGUAGUGUGAAUUGCAGAAUUCAGUGAAUCAUCGAAUCUUUGAACGCACAUUGCGCCCCUUGGUAUUCCAUGGGGCAUGCCUGUUCGAGCGUCAUUUGUACCUUCAAGCUCUGCUUGGUGUUGGGUGUUUGUCUUUGCUCUAGUGGCGGGACUCGCCUUAAAGUAAUUGGCAGCCAGUGUUUUGGUUUUGAAGCGCAGCACAAGUCGCGAUUCAAGUCUAUACGCUAGUUUCCACAAGUCUUUUAUCACUUUUGACCUCGGAUCAGGUAGGGAUACCCGCUGAACUUAAGCAUAUCAAUAAGCGGAGGA
rnacentral:misc_RNA from 1 species